rnacentral:rRNA from 1 species
UAAUUUAAAGUCUAACCUGCCCAAUGAAUUAUUUGAAUGGCCGCGGUAUUUUGACCGUGCUAAGGUAGCAUAAUAAUUAGUUUUUUAAUUGAAAACUGGUAUGAAUGGUUGAACGAGGAAAAGACUGUCUCAAUUUAAUUUAAUUAGAAUUUUAUUUUUAAGUAAAAAAGCUUAAAUAUAUUUAAAAGACGAGAAGACCCUAUAGAGUUUUAUAUUUUGAUUAAAAUUAGAUUAUUAGAUAUUUUUUUUUAAUUUUUAUUAAAAUAUUUUGUUGGGGUGAUUAAAAAAUUAAUUAAACUUUUUUUAUAUUUUAUCAUUGAUUUAUGAAUAAGUGAUCCAUUAUUUAUGAUUAAAAGAUUAAAUUACCUUAGGGAUAACAGC